rnacentral:rRNA from 1 species
AAGGAAUAUUGGUCAAUGGACGCAAGUCUGAACCAGCCAUGCCGCGUGAAGGAAGAAGGCCUUCUGGGUUGUAAACUGCUUUUGCCAGGGGAUAAAAUGGGCGUGCGCGCUUAAUUGAAGGUACCUGGUGAAUAAGCCACGGCUAACUACGUGCCAGCAGCCGCGGUAAUACGUAGGUGGCAAGCGUUGUCCGGAUUUAUUGGGUUUAAAGGGUGCGUAGGUGGUCCCAUAAGUCAGUGCUGAAAUAUCCCGGCUUAACCGGGAGGGUGGCAUUGAUACUGCGGGACUUGAGUAAAGUUGAGGUAGGCGGAAUUGACGGUGUAGCGGUGAAAUGCUUAGAUAUCGUCAAGAACACCUAUUGCGAAGGCAGCUUACUAAGCUUUAACUGACACUGAGGCACGAAAGUGUGGGGAUCAAAC